CCUAAGCAUUUGUGUGACCUUCAACCUCUGCUUCAGAAUACACAAGAAUCUACAGUCAUAGAAACAAUGUAUAUGAUCACAAAUUCGAACAGGAACAAGGUGUUUAGAGGGCAAACCGUUCGGCAAAGAAAGAAAAGAGAGAGAGACAGAGAGACCAAAACUUAAGGCUUUCAAAUUACUUAAUAGCUGUUACGAAAACUAUUCCUGCAAAUGCAGGGAUGACAUCUCCAGAAAAUAUAAGCAAACAAUACACGCUAAUUAGCAUAACUGAUGUUGUAUGUCUGAAAUGAACUCAUGCAGCAGACAAGUUUUGAAGAUUGGAAAUCAAAAAGGAAGGGUGUAGUUGAGAAACAAAACCAGAGCUUUGCUUUUCUUGAAGACACAGUAGCACCUUAGCUUCCCUUGACAUUCGAAAGAUGCUUUUUAAUCCUGUGAUUUAAAUACAACUUUAAGGUUUCGUUAACAAAUCUACGCAUCAGAAACUGCAUCAUAACUAAAGUAAAGAGAAAUCAUUAUAGAGGCUGAGGCUCUCCUUGAGAGAUGUACUUGAGAAAUUAUUAUAGUAGCCAUUCCACUGAUCUGCAAUCUGCAUUAUCCAUAAAAUUUUCCAAAAUCAUCAUCCAAUCAAAAUCUUAGUCCAAGAUAGAAGUAUAAAGCUAUACUUCAUAGAAUCUAAAAACAUCCUACCAAAAAAAAAAAAAGAAUCUUAAAACCAAAGGAAUCAAGUUAUUUGAUAGCUAAACAUAAGAUACAUAAAAACUUAGAAUAAGGAGCUUAAUAAAACUCAAGUAAAUAACUAACCAUAACAAUUCAUCCGACACAUGCGACCUACAAACAAACAUCAAACGAAGCCAACAAAUUUUUAAGGAUUGGAAAUCGAAAAAGAAUGGUGUACUUGAGAAACGAACCAGAGCAUUGCUUUCCUGAAGAUACAGAAUCUAAAGUGCUUCAGAACUAAAUAGCUAACCAUAACAAUUCAUCUACACAUAACUUAGAUUCAGAAUUAAACAUGAAAUGAACUCAAGCGACCUACAAAAAAACAUCAAUCACAGCCAACAAAUUUCAAAGAUUAGAAAUCGAAAAAGAAGGAACCAGAGCUUUGCUUUUCUGAAGAUACAGUAAGUAUCCUCUUAGCUUCNNNNNNNNNNNNNNNNNNNNNNNNNNNNNNNNNNNNNNNNNNNNNNNNNNNNNNNCACAAACUGCAUCAUAACUAAAGUAGAUAGAGAACACAAUACGUCAAUCUUUCUGGUAAAGAAUGAAACACACAUGUAAAGCUUAGCAACACUACAAAGUGAAAACAAUAAUUUCAACAAGUUAUAAACUAAAUUAUAAACGGUGCCUUCUUUUAACUCCAAACAAGUUUUAAUAUAAUAAACACUUAGUAAGAAGUCUUACAACACAGCCUAGGCAGUUUAUGAAAGAUGUUACAAUGCUUUAGAAGCCAU
rnacentral:lncRNA from 1 species